UUCCACAAGUUUUUAAGGCUCUUAACCCACACUUUCACUCCUCUGCUACUAGUCUUCAGUGUUGUUAACAGCAAGAGAAAAUUGGGUUUGUUUAAAAAUCUACUUCUCUGAGGUGGCACAGUUGCGUAGCUGUAGUCCCAGCUACUCAGGAGGCUGAGGUAGUAGGAUUGCUUGAGCCCGGGAGUGUAGUGGCAUGAUCUCGGCUCACUGCAACCUCUGCCUCCCAGGUUCAUGCCAUUCUCCUGCCUCAGCCUCCCGAGUAGCUGGGACUACAGGUGUCUGCCGCCACGCCUGGCUAAUUUUUUUGUAUUUUUAGUAGAGACGGGGUUUCACCAUGUUGGUCAGGAUGGUCUCGAUUUCCUGACCUCGUGAUCCGCCUGUCUCGGCCUCCCAAAGUGCUGGGAUUACAGGCGUGAGCCACCACGCCUGGCCUAUAAGAUACGG
rnacentral:lncRNA from 1 species